rnacentral:rRNA from 1 species
UUAGAGUUUUGAUCCUGGCUCAGGAUGAACGCUGGCGGCGUGCCUAAUACAUGCAAGUCGAGCGAACUGAUUAGAAGCUUGCUUCUAUGUACGUUAGCGGCGGACGGGUGNAGUAACACGUGGGCAACCUGCCUGUAAGACUGGGAUAACUUCGGGAAACCGAAGCUAAUACCGGAUAGGAUCUUCUCCUUCAUGGGAGAUGAUUGAAAGAUGGUUUCGGCUAUCACUUACAGAUGGGCCCGCGGUGCAUUAGCUAGUUGGUGAGGUAACGGCUCACCAAGGCAACGAUGCAUAGCCGACCUGAGAGGGUGAUCGGCCACACUGGGACUGAGACACGGCCCAGACUCCUACGGGAGGCAGCAGUAGGGAAUCUUCCGCAAUGGACGAAAGUCUGACGGAGCAACGCCGCGUGAGUGAUGAAGGCUUUCGGGUCGUAAAACUCUGUUGUUAGGGAAGAACAAGUACNAGAGUAACUGCUNGUACCUUGACGGUACCUAACCAGAAAGCCACGGCUAACUACGUGCCAGCAGCCGCGGUAAUAC